rnacentral:tRNA from 2 species
UCAGCGGCUGGGGCGCGGGAAUCUGCGCGGUCAGCACGCGGGCUGCUUGCGGGGGUAGGCAGCCGGCCAGUUCGACGCGUUCGUCGCCGGUC